rnacentral:rRNA from 1 species
CUGGCUCAGGAUGAACGCUAGCGGCAGGCUUAACACAUGCAAGUCGAGGGGCAGCGCGGGGUAGCAAUACUCUGGCGGCGACCGGCGAAAGGGUGAGUAACGCGUGAGCAACGUGCCCGUAUGUGGGGGAUAGUCGAUGGAAACGUCGCGUAAUACCCCGUAACACAUUUUUCCCGCAUGAGGAGAUGUUGAAAGAUUUAUUGCAUACGGAUCGGCUCGCGUGCCAUUAGGUAGACGGCGGGGUAACGGCCCACCGUGCCGACGAUGGCUAGGGGUUCUGAGAGGAAGGUCCCCCACAUUGGAACUGAGACACGGUCCAGACUCCUACGGGAGGCAGCAGUGAGGAAUAUUGGACAAUGGCCGGAAGGCUGAUCCAGCCAUGCCGCGUGACCGGGAAGACGGCCCUAUGGGUUGUAAACCGCUUUUGCGAGGGAGCAAUAAGGGUAACGUGUUGCCCGAUGAGAGUACCUCGCGAAUAAGCAUCGGCUAACUCCGUGCCAGCAGCUGC